rnacentral:rRNA from 1 species
UGGGGAAUAUUGCACAAUGGGGGAAACCCUGAUGCAGCCAUGCCGCGUGUGUGAAGAAGGCCUUCGGGUUGUAAAGCACUUUCAGUUGUGAGGAAAAGUUAGUAGUUAAUACCUGCUAGCCGUGACGUUAACAACAGAAGAAGCACCGGCUAACUCCGUGCCAGCAGCCGCGGUAAUACGGAGGGUGCGAGCGUUAAUCGGAAUUACUGGGCGUAAAGCGCACGCAGGCGGUUUGUUAAGCUAGAUGUGAAAGCCCCGGGCUCAACCUGGGAUGGUCAUUUAGAACUGGCAGACUAGAGUCUUGGAGAGGGGAGUGGAAUUCCAGGUGUAGCGGUGAAAUGCGUAGAUAUCUGGAGGAACAUCAGUGGCGAAGGCGACUCCCUGGCCAAAGACUGACGCUCAUGUGCGAAAGUGUGGGUAGCGAACAGGAUUAGAUACCCUGGUAGUCCACACCGUAAACGCUGUCUACUAGCUGUGUGUGUCUUUAAGACGUGCGUAGCGAAGCUAACGCGCUAAGUAGACCGCCUGGGAG